rfam:Ictidomys tridecemlineatus contig010630, whole genome shotgun sequence.
GGGGUUGUAGCUCAGUGGUAGAGCACUUGCCUAGCAUGUGUGAGGCACUAAGUUCAAUCCUUAGCAGUAUUU